AAGGCGAAGCUCCUGAUCGAAGCCCCAGUAAACGGCGGCCGUAACUAUAACGGUCCUAAGGUAGCGAAAUUCCUUGUCGGGUAAGUUCCGACCUGCACGAAUGGCGUAAUGAUGGCCAGGCUGUCUCCACCCGAGACUCAGUGAAAUUGAACUCGCUGUGAAGAUGCAGUGUACCCGCGGCAAGACGGAAAGACCCCGUGAACCUUUACUAUAGCUUGACACUGAACAUUGAGCCUUGAUGUGUAGGAUAGGUGGGAGGCUUUGAAGUGUGGACGCCAGUCUGCAUGGAGCCAACCUUGAAAUACCACCCUUUAACGUUUGAUGUUCUAACCUAGGCCCAUAAACUGGGUCGGGGACCGUGUCUGGUGGGUAGUUUGACUGGGGCGGUCUCCUCCUAAAGAGUAACGGAGGAGCACGAAGGUUGGCUAAGCAUGGUCGGACAUCAUGCGGUUAGUGCAAAGGCAUAAGCCAGCUUGACUGCGAGAGUGACGGCUCGAGCAGGUACGAAAGUAGGUCUUAGUGAUCCGGUGGUUCUGAAUGGAAGGGCCAUCGCUCAACGGAUAAAAGGUACUCCGGGGAUAACAGGCUGAUACCGCCCAAGAGUUCAUAUCGACGGCGGUGUUUGGCACCUCGAUGUCGGCUCAUCACAUCCUGGGGCUGAAGUAGGUCCCAAGGGUAUGGCUGUUCGCCAUUUAAAGUGGUACGCGAGCUGGGUUUAGAACGUCGUGAGACAGUUCGGUCCCUAUCUGCCGUGGGCGUUGGAAGAUUGAGAGGGGUUGCUCCUAGUACGAGAGGACCGGAGUGAACGCACCACUGGUGUUCGGGUUGUCAUGCCAAUGGCAUUGCCCGGUAGCUAAGUGCGGAAGAGAUAACCGCUGAAAGCAUCUAAGCGGGAAACUUGCCUCGAGAUGAGUCUUCCCUGUCGCUUUAAGCGACCUAAAGGAACGUUUAAGACUAAGACGUUGAUAGGCUGGGUGUGUAAGCGUAG
rnacentral:rRNA from 1 species